ensembl:lncRNA
UUAAUACAUUGUUUUGUUUUUUUAAAUCGCAUAAUUGAUAAAAGGAGCAGUUUGAAUGUUUUGGCUCCCCCUACUGACUGCAAGGCGAGUUGCAAUUACAAUGACCGAUAAGCUUCCCCUUUUCAUUUUCUCCGACUGACCCCCCCACCCCCUGUUGAAACCAUUUAUUUACGCCUUUAUGAGCUGCUUUUAAAGACAAAAAGCCAAUCUGAGCUGCUCUGCGCUCUUUCGUCUGAGGGUGGAGCUUAUUUCUGGCCGGGGAAAAAAAAAAAAAAAAAAAAAUCUACGUAUAAGAAUCUGGAAAUGAAAAGUAAUUCGCCGGAAAUAUCCUUCGCAAUAUUGCAAAUCGAAGGUGUAAAAACCUUUUUAAACAUUACCAAUGACACCUUUAUAAAAAAUUACUUUGUUUGCAUGACAAUUUAUAUGCAUGUUUUACUCCGAAAUAUGACAAUAAUAAUAAAUGAAAAAAAGGAUUACUUAUAAAAACAAGAGCUUUUAUUCAAUUAUUAAAAGUUUGCCCUUAUCAGCUGCCUGAUCACAAUCCCUUUAUAAUAAUAUGGCAUUAAACAAAGUGGCAGGAAAUCAAUAAAGAGUGAUAUUAAUAAUGUACAUGGCACGGUUAACACAUGUCGAGACCAUUUUCCGUGACCUUUGACAGUACAAGUAAUCGCAAAAUGUGCAACUAGAAAACUAAAAUGAGGUCCUUCGUGCUGUAAACGUGAUUGAAAGAAAUGCAGAUAAAUGAAAUAAUUACAGGUCAGUUACAGUCUGUCCAAAGAACUGGCACUAAAACGAAGACACGAAGGGGUGGUGCGUCGAUACGUCUUGUAUCGUCUGAUUUUCUGACGUUGAUUCACAGUAAAUCAGGACUUUAUUAACCAGAGCAUCAUUCUGAGGUACAGAGCAGAUUAUGAAGCUUAACAGUGACCCAUAUGGAAGGAUUUGGCAUUUUGUGUCCACCGUGUGGUGCUGAUGUGCAACUACAGCGAGAAGGCGGUCAGUAACGCUCCGCUCACGAUCAUACAAAACGCCAGGAUGAGCACCAGGAAAUUCUUUAUUACCUUCACUUCCUUAAAAACCACGACCCC